rnacentral:lncRNA from 10 species
CUCAUUUUAAUAUUUCAGAUAAGAAUUGGUCAAAUUUGUAUUCACCUUAUAAGUGAAUAUAAAUAAGAAUUGAUCAACUUUAUAUUCACCUGUGUUUACUCUGUUAGAAGUCUUCUUCAGGAAUGUCUUUACUUAACAUCCUGUCACCAAGGAGCUGCCUCUGCCUCCGCAUGGAAACCAGCACUGAGGUCUCCCCUCGCCUCCCACCCUGUUAAUGUCCUUGCUAGCAGGAGCAUAAAGGCCAUCACGGCGGGGACUCUGCAGUGAAGAGGAGGCCCCGCUCGUGGAGCCUGCUGUAGAAACACUUGCUAACUGUGAGUCCAGGGAUUUGAUUCCUGACAGAGAUUCUCUCCUUGAGAAACUCCACGCAGCCCCCCUGAACUUUUCAAUGAGACCUCAACUUUUGGACUUCUGUGGUUGUCUCUGCCUUGUCCGCUUUUGGCAAGAACCCCCACCUAGAUAACUGGUCAGGAGACGCCGCCGUCCCCGGGUGAUACCCUCACUUCAGCAAGAAUCCUGUUAGGUUGGUUUCACCAGAACCCUCUGAGCGCGGUGUUUUGUCUUGGUAAUUUCCCGUCCCCUGCCCCCACGCUGCUCCUUGGCUGUGAUCCCCUUAUUCCUGCUGUCUUCAGAGCUGAAUCCGGUCUCUCUCCCCCUAUUCAGGAAGGACUGAGUAAAAUCUGC